rnacentral:rRNA from 1 species
CCUACGGGAGGCAGCAGUGAGGAAUAUUGGUCAAGGGCCGUAAGGCUGAACCAGCCAAGUCGCGUGAAGGAAGAAGGAUCUAUGGUUGGUAAACUUCGUGUAUAGGGGAAUAAAGGGAGCCACGUGUGGAUAUUUGCAUGGACCCUAUGAAUAAGCAUCGGCUAACUCCGUGCCAGCAGCCGCGGUAAUACGGAGGAUGCGAGCGUUAUCCGGAUUUAUUGGGUUUAAAGGGUGCGUAGGGUGUUUUUUAAGUCAGCGGUGAAAGUUUGUGGCUCAACCAUAAAAUUGCCGUUGAAACUGGAAGUCUUGCGUGUGUUUGAGGUAGGCGGAAUGCGUGGUGUAGCGGUG